rnacentral:rRNA from 1 species
GACGAACGCUGGCGGCGUGCCUAAUACAUGCAAGUAGAACGCACAGUUUAUACCGUAGCUUGCUACACCAUAGACUGUGAGUUGCGAACGGGUGAGUAACGCGUAGGUAACCUGCCUGGUAGCGGGGGAUAACUAUUGGAAACGAUAGCUAAUACCGCAUAAUAUUAAUUAUUGCAGGAUAAUUAAUGGAAAGGUGCAAUUGCACAACUACAAGAGGGACCGGCGUUGUAUUAGCUAGUAGGUGAGGUAACGGCUCACCUAGGCGACGAUACAUAGCCGACCUGAGAGGGUGCUCGGCCACACUGGGACUGAGACACGGCCCCGACUCCUACGGGAGGCAGCAGUAGGGAAUCUUCGGCAAUGGACGAAAGUCUGACCGAGCAACGCCGCGUGAGUGAAGAAGGUUUUCGGAUCGUAAAGCUCUGUUGUAAGAGAAGAACGGGUGUGAGAGUGGAAAGUUCACACUGUGACGGUAUCUUACCAGAAAGGGACGGCUAACUACGUG